UACGUAGGGGGCAAGCGUUGUCCGGAUUCAUUGGGCGUAAAGAGCGUGUAGGCGGCCAGGUAGGUCGGUUGUGAAAACUGGAGGCUCAACCUUCAGACGUCGACCGAAACCAUCUGGCUAGAGUCCGGGAGAGGAGAGUGGAAUUCCUGGUGUAGCGGUGAAAUGCGCAGAUAUCAGGAAGAACACCCGUGGCGAAAGCGGCUCUCUGGAAUGGUACUGACGCUGAGACGCGAAAGCGUGGGGAGCGAACAGG
rnacentral:rRNA from 1 species